CCGCACAAGCGGUGGAGCAUGUGGUUUAAUUCGAUGCAACGCGAAGAACCUUACCUACACUUGACAUGCAGAGAACUUUCCAGAGAUGGAUUGGUGCCUUCGGGAACUCUGACACAGGUGCUGCAUGGCUGUCGUCAGCUCGUGUUGUGAAAUGUUGGGUUAAGUCCCGUAACGAGCGCAACCCUUAUCCUUAUUUGCCAGCACUUCGGGUGGGAACUCUAAGGAGACUGCCGGUGACAAACCGGAGGAAGGAGAGGAUGAUGUCAAGUCAUCAUGGCCCUUACGGCCUGGGCUACACACGUGCUACAAUGGGCAGUACAGAGGGCCGCAAACCCGCGAGGGGGAGCAAAUCCCAAAAAACUGUUCGUAGUCCGGAUCGGAGUCUGCAACUCGACUCCGUGAAGUCGGAAUCGCUAGUAAUCGCGAAUCAGCAUGUCGCGGUGAAUACGUUCCCGGGCCUUGUACACACCGCCCGUCAC
rnacentral:rRNA from 1 species